rnacentral:RNase_P_RNA from 1 species
GAGGUGGGCCAGGCGACCGCGGGGCGUGCGAGCGAUCGUGCGCCAUGAGGAAAGUCCGGGCUCCACAGGGCAGGAUGCUGGCUAACGGCCAGGCGGGGUAACCCGACGGAAAGCGCCGCAGAAAAGAAGACUCCCACCUGCGGGCGGUUCGCCGCGCGUAAAGGGAAAAGCUGAAACGGUGGUGUAAGAGACCACCAGCGUUGUGGCAACACGGCGGCUUGGCAAGCCCCAUCCGGAGCAAACGCAAAUAGGAGCACCAUGGUGUGGCCCGCACCGUGCUCGGGUUGCGCGCUAGAGGCGGACGGUGACGUCCGCAGUAGAUAAAUGGCCGCCCCAGACAGAACCCGGCUUACAGGCCCGCCUCGCAU